rnacentral:rRNA from 1 species
AAAUUGUAAUUGAUCUUUUACCAGUCUCGUUCUGAUUUAUGUUGUGAAUAUUGAGAAUAUUGUUGUCGCAGUCAUUAUUGCCACUACGUCUGGUCCUUUGGGCAGAAUAGUGUUGAUAUUUUGUCUUGCAACACAAAAUUCUUCACAAUAUUGUAGCCGUACUUGAUUGUAUGCCUAUUCAUGUAUAUGUGGUUAGUCAACACCAGUUCGGCUGCUUGCACACAUCGCCAUCUCAACAUGAUCAGCAGGCUGCUAAGACCUUGUGUCUUGCCCCAAAGGUUGAUUAACACCGUGAGUGCAACGAGGAGAUUGCAAGCCUUUGUUAUGUAGUGAACAACAUAUACCUACUACUACUACUUUGAGUAAUGUAGGAUUCCAACUACACCAGAAUAACCAUUAACGUGAAAAUGAACUCAGGCACUGCUAUACUUUAAGAUGGUG